rnacentral:rRNA from 1 species
UUACCNNAUNNUUANNAACUUUAAAAAUUUAAAACUCAAAGAACUUGGCGGUGUUUUAGACCACUUAGGGGAACCUGUCUCGUAAUCGAUAGUCCACGUUGUAUCUGACCUUUUUUUGUUUUCAGUUUGUAUACCGUUGUCGUCAGGUAACUUUUUAGAGAUUAGAAGUUAGCAAUAGAAAUGUGAUAAUUUAGUACGUCAAAUCAAGGUGCAGCUAAUAAGAAGGGGAGGAUGGGUUACAGUUAUGUGAUUUAUAAUACGGAAAAAUGCAUGAAAUAGCAUUAAUUUAAGGCGGACUUGAAAGUAAAUUAAAUUAUAUGAAUAAUUUGAAUGAGGCUCUGAAACGUGU